GAUCCGCCGUUGCAGUCAUGCCACAAAUAAUGCCAUCAAUAGAUGUGCCAAUAGACUGUGACACAUUAACUACAGUAGAAGCUGGUACUGGUUAUGACAACGACGGUGAAAGCUGGAGACCAAAGAGGGCAAGAGUGUCCAGUAUAGAGGCCACACUUGAAUCUGUAAUUCAGCCGGGAACAAGCCAGGACUGGACUGAUGAAGCUGGGUUAACGGAAACCAGUGUUGAGGUCACCACUAAAAGUGAACCCUCUCAGCUAUCAGCUACACCAUCAGCGAUCAGAAAAAAUAAAACUUCAUUUGAGGAUAUUAAAAAAAAAUUGCUGUGGCAAGAGUUAGACAACAACAAAAAAAAAUUUGAGAUAGAAGUGGAACACAUGAAACUAAAAAAUCAGUUAGAAAUCGAAUUUCUUCGACAUAAAUAUAAAUUAGAACUAGAAAUUUUACAGUUUAAAAAAGAAUCUGAAAAUAAAUGAUUAAAAUGA